GGAGAGGAUUAAAGCUCUGACUAGAUUGAUGAACAGAGACACAUCAUAACUACUAAUAGUUCAUCAUGACGUUUACUAUUGUGGUUCUUCUGAUGACAAUGGGCUUGAAAGGUGUUCAUGGUCAGACACUGACUGAGUCUGGACCAGUUGUAAAAAUAACUGGAGAAACACACAAAGUGACCUGUACAGCUUCUGGGUUCACAUUCAGUAGCUACUGGAUGGCUUGGAUCAGACAGGUUCCUGGGAAAGGACUUGAAUGGAUUGCCAUUAUAAGAUAUGAUAGUGCUGAAAUCUACUACUCCCAGUCUGUUCAGGGUCGGUUCACCAUCUCCAGAGACAACAGUAAGCAGCAGGUGUAUCUCCAGAUGAACAGCCUGAACACUGAAGACUCUGCUGUUUAUUAUUGUGCCAGAAACACAGUGACACAGGAUCCUGCAGCGCCGUACAAAAACUGAUCAACACUGAUCACA